UACGAAGGUCCCGAGCGUUAUUCGGAAUCACUGGGCGUAAAGGGAGCGUAGGCGGCGUGGUAAGUCAGAUGUGAAAUCUCAGAGCUCAACUCUGAAACUGCAUUCGAUACUGCCAUGCUAGAGUAAUGGAGAGGUAACUGGAAUUCUCGGUGUAGCAGUGAAAUGCGUAGAUAUCGAGAGGAAGACCAAUGGCGAAAGCA
rnacentral:rRNA from 1 species